GGCGGGGUAGCUUAGCUGGUUAGAGCGCUCGGUUCAUACCCGUGAGGUCGUGGGUUCGACUCCCACCCCCGCUACCA
rnacentral:tRNA from 2 species